rnacentral:rRNA from 1 species
CCUACGGGAGGCUGCAGUGGGGAAUAUUGCGCAAUGGGCGAAAGCCUGACGCAGCGACGCCGCGUGAGGGAUGAAGGUCUUCGGAUCGUAAACCUCUGUCAGCAGGGAAGAACGGUCACUGUGCUAAGCAGCAGUGAAUUGACGGUACCGGCAAAGGAAGCACAGGCUAACUCCGUGCCAGCAGCCGCGGUAAGAAGGAGGGUGCGAGCGUUAAUCGGAAUUACUGGGCGUAAAGCGCUCGUAGGCGGUAUGUCAAGUCAAGGGUGAAAUCCCCGCGCUCAACGGGGGAACUGCCUUUGACACUGGCAACCUGGAGUGUGUGAGAGGAUAGUGGAAUUCCAGGUGUAGGCGUGAAAUCCGUAGAUAUCUGGAGGAACAUCAGUGGCGAAGGCGACUCUCUGGCCCAUGACUGACGCUGAGGCGCGAAAGCGUGGGUAGCAAACAGGAUUAGAUCCCCUAGUAGUC